rnacentral:rRNA from 1 species
CAGCCGCCGCGGUAAUACCGGCGGCCCGAGUGGCGGUCACUAUUAUUGGGCUUAAAGCGUCCGUAGCCGGGUUGGGAAGUCCUCCGGGAAAUCUGGCCGCUUAACGGUCAGAAUGCCGGAGGAUACUCCCAGCCUAGGGAGCGGGAGAGGCCGAGGGUAUUCCCGGAGUAGGGGGGAAAUCCUAUAAUCCCGGGAGGACCACCUGUGGCGAAGGCGCUCGGCUGGAACGCGUCCGACGGUGAGGGACGAAGGCCAGGGGAGCAAACCGGAUUAGAUACCCGGGUAGUCCUGGCUGUAAACGAUGCGGACUUUGUGUCGGACAAGCUAUGAGCUUGUCCGGUGCCGGAGGGAAACCGUCAAGUCCGCCGCCUGGGGAGUACGGCCGCAAGGCUGAAACUUAAAGGAAUUGGGGGG